rnacentral:rRNA from 1 species
AGAGUUUGAUCCUGGCUCAGGAUGAACGCUGGCGGCGUGCUUAACACAUGCAAGUCGAACGGACUCAUAUUGAAACCUAGUGAUUUAUGAGUUAGUGGCGGACGGGUGAGUAACGCGUGGAUAACCUACCGUAUACCGGGGGAUAACACUUAGAAAUAGGUGCUAAUACCGCAUAAGCGCACGGCUCCGCAUGGGGCAGUGUGAAAAACUCCGGUGGUAUACGAUGGAUCCGCGUCUGAUUAGCUAGUUGGCGGGGUAACGGCCCACCAAGGCAGCGAUCAGUAGCCGGCCUGAGAGGGUGGACGGCCACAUUGGGACUGAGACACGGCCCAAACUCCUACGGGAGGCAGCAGUGGGGAAUAUUGCACAAUGGGGGAAACCCUGAUGCAGCGACGCCGCGUGAGUGAAGAAGUAUCUCGGUACGUAAAGCUCUAUCAGCAGGGAAGAAAAUGACGGUACCUGACUAAGAAGCCCCGGCUAACUACGUGCCAGCAGCCGCGGUAAUACGGAGGGUGCAAGCGUUACUCGGAAUCACUGGGCGUAAAGAGUGCGUAGGCGGGGUAAUAAGUCAGAUGUGAAAUCCUGUAGCUUAACUACAGAACUGCAUUUGAAACUGUUACUCUGGAGUGUGGGAGAGGUAGGUGGAAUUCUUGGUGUAGGGGUAAAAUCCGUAGAGAUCAAGAGGAAUACUCAUUGCGAAGGCGACCUGCUGGAACAUUACUGACGCUGAUGCACGAAAGCGUGGGGAGCAAACAGGAUUUAGAUACCCUGGUAGUCCACGCCCUAAACGAUGGAUGCUAGUUGUUGCCUUGCUUGUCAGGGCAGUAAUGCAGCUAACGCAUUAAGCAUCCCGCCUGGGGAGUACGGUCGCAAGAUUAAAACUCAAAGGAAUAGACGGGGACCCGCACAAGCGGUGGAGCAUGUGGUUUAAUUCGAAGAUACGCGAAGAACCUUACCUAGGCUUGACAUUGAUAGAAUCUACUAGAGAUAGUGGAGUGCCCUUCGGGGACCUCUCACACAGGUGGUGCAUGGUUGUCGUCAGCUCGUGUCGUGAGAUGUUGGGUUAAGUCCCGCAACGAGCGCAACCCCUAUUUCCAGUAGCCAGCAGGUAAGGCUGGGCACUCUGGAGAGACUGCCCGGGACAACCGGGAGGAAGGCGGGGAUGACGUCAAAUCAUCAUGCCCCUUAUGACCAGGGCGACACACGUGCUACAAUGGCGUAAACAAAGGGAAGCAGGACGGCGACGUUGAGCAAAUCCCAGAAAUAACGUCCCAGUUCGGAUUGUAGUCUGCAACCCGACUACAUGAAGCUGGAAUCGCUAGUAAUCGCGAAUCAGAAUGUCGCGGUGAAUACGUUCCCGGGUCUUGCACUCACCGCCCGUCA